rnacentral:lncRNA from 1 species
AUGAUAAUUGGGCUUUGGUGCCAGGAUGAUAACUGGGCUUUGGUGCCAGGAUGAUAACUGGGCUUUGGUGCCAGGAUGAUAACUGGGCUUUGGUGCCAGGAUGAUAACUGGGCUUUUGUUCUAGGAUGAUAACUGGGCUUUGGUGCCAGGAUGACAACUGGGCUUUUGUGCCAGGAUGAUAACUGGGCUUUGGUGUCAGGAUGAUAACUGGGCUUUUGUGCCAGGAUGAUAACUGGGCUUUUGUGCCAGGAUGAUAAUUGGGCUUUUG